AGUUAUUCACGUAGGGUACAGAGGUAAGAUGUUCUAUCUUUCAGACCUUUUACUUCACGUAAUCGGAUUUGGCUGAAUAUUUUAGCCGCCCCAGUCAGUUUAUGACUGGGGCGUUUUUUA
rfam:Salmonella enterica subsp. enterica serovar Macclesfield str. S-1643 chromosome, complete genome.